GGCCUCCGUGGCCAAGUGGUAAUGCUCGAGACUUUGAUUCGUCAGGUCGUGGGUUCGGGACCUGCCAAGGUCU